UUGGCUGGGGUGGUACACCCGUCAAACCGUAAGGCAGGUCUCCUAUGGUGAGCUCAGGGAGGACAGAAACCUCCCGUGGAAGAGAAGGGCAAAAGCUUGCUUGAUCUUGACUUUCAGUAGAAAUACAGACCUUGAAAGCGGGGCCUCAUGAUCCUUCUGACUUUUUGUGUUUUGACCAAAAC
rnacentral:ncRNA from 1 species